rnacentral:rRNA from 1 species
GAUGAACGCUGGCGGCGUGCCUAAUACAUGCAAGUCGAGCGAACAGACGAGGAGCUUGCUCCUCUGACGUUAGCGGCGGACGGGUGAGUAACACGUGGAUAACCUACCUAUAAUACUGGGAUAACUUCGGGAAGCCGGAGCUAAUACCGGAUAAUAUAUUGAACCGCAUGGUUCAAUAGUGAAAGACGGUUUUGCUGUCACUUAUAGAUGGAUCCGCGUCGCAUUAGCUAGUUGGUAAGGUAACGGCUUACCAAGGCAACGAUGCGUAGCCGACCUGAGAGGGUGAUCGGCCACACUGGAACUGAGACACGGUCCAGACUCCUACGGGAGGCAGCAGUAGGGAAUCUUCCGCAAUGGGCGCAAGCCUGACGGAGCCACACCGCGUGAGUGAUGAAGGUCUUCGGAUCGUAAAGCUCUGUUAUUAGGAAAGAACAAAUGUGUAAGAAACUCUGCCCGUCUUGACGGUACCUAAUCAGAAAGCCCCGGCUAACUUCGUG